rnacentral:rRNA from 1 species
UACGAAGGGUGCAAGCGUUACUCGGAAUUACUGGGCGUAAAGCGUGCGUAGGUGGUGAGUUAAGUCUGAUGUGAAAGCCCCGGGCUCAACCUGGGAAUGGCAAUGGAUACUGGCAAGCUAGAGUGCGGUAGAGGGUAGUGGAAUUCCCGGUGUAGCGGUGAAAUGCGUAGAGAUCGGGAGGAACACCAGUGGCGAAGGCGGCUACCUGGACCAGCACUGACACUGAGGCACGAAAGCGUGGGGAGCAAACAGG